GAAUGAGAAGGCCAAACUGACUGUGACUUGUCACCCCACAAAUGCUCAGGUUCAUUCAGCUGAUCUGGCUGGCUGGCUGGGUGGUAGCCCCACCACUCACGACCACAGGUAGACCCCCAAAGUCAUACGUUUAUUGGAACACGAUGAUCUUUCCAGCAGGCAGAGAAUGACCAUUCUUUUGUCAAGGAUAUACCAGUAGCUGCCUAAAAUUUUUCAUUUCACUCAGGAAAUUACAGAAAUGAAUUUAAGCCCUUAUGUCAUAUCAUAUAUAAAAAUUAACUCAAAAAAUUU
ensembl:misc_RNA 7SK 7SK RNA